CCUACGGGAGGCAGCAGUAGGGAAUUUUCGGCAAUGGGGGGAACCCUGACCGAGCAACGCCGCGUGAACGAAGAAGUUAUUCGUAAUGUAAAGUUCCGUUAACAGGGAAGAAAGAGAAAUUUGACAGUACCUGACGAAUAAGCUCUGGCUAACUACGUGCCAGCGGCCGCCGUCAUACGUAGGGAGCGAGCGUUAUCCGGAUUUAUUGGGUUUAAAGGGUGCGUAGGCGGAAUAUCAAGUCAGCGGUAAAAAUUCGGGGCUCAACCCCGUCGUGCCGUUGAAACUGAAGAUCUUGAGUGGGCGAGAAGUAUGCGGAAUGCGAGGUGUAGCGGUGAAAUGCAUAGAGAUAACGCAGAACUCCGAUUGCGAAGGCAGCAUACCGGCGCCCAACUGACGCUGAAGCACGAAAGCGUGGGUAUCGAACAGGAUUAGAUACCCUGGUAGUC
rnacentral:rRNA from 1 species